CAAGUGAAGAGUUUGAUCCUGGCUCAGAUUGAACGCUGGCGGCGUGCUUAACACAUGCAAGUCGAGCGGUAACAGGUGUAGCAAUACAUGCUGACGA
rnacentral:rRNA from 1 species